GGACUUGUAGCAUAGCGGUUUAAUGUACCCGGCUGUCUACCGGGGGAUCGUGGGUUCGAAUCCCAUCAAGUCCG
rnacentral:tRNA from 1 species